ensembl:lncRNA
AGGUGGUGGUGGAGGUGGUGGUGGUUGUAGAGGUAGUGGUGGAGUUGGUGGAGGUAGUGGUGGUGGAGGUAGUGGUAUUGUAGAGGUGGUGGAUCUGGUGGUGGAUCUGGUGGUGGUUGUAAAGGUGGUGGUUGUAGAGGUGGUGGUGGUGGUGGUGGUUGUAGAGGUGGUGGAGGUGGUGGUGGUGGUGUUGUGGAGGUGGUUGAGGUGGUGGUGGUGGAGGUAGUGGUGGUUGUAGUGGUGGUGGUGGAGGAGAGGUAGUGGUGGAGAAGUAGUGGUGGAGGUAGUGGUGGAGGUGGUGGUGGUGUUGGUGGUGGUUGUAGAGGUAGUGGUGGAGGUGGUGGUGGUUGUAGAGGUAGUGGUGGAGGUGCUGGAGUUGGUGGAUGUAGUGGUGAAGGUGGUGGAGGUAGUGGUGGUUUAGGAGGUAGAGGUGGAGGUGGUGGAGGUGAUGGUGGUUUUAGAGGUAGUGUUGGAGGUGGAGGUGGUUGUAGAGGUAGUGGUGGAGGUGGUGGUGGUUGUGGAAGUAGUGGUGGAGGUGGAGGUGAAGGUGGAGGUGGUGGAGGUGGUGGUGGUUGUAGAGGUAGUGGUGGAGUUGGUGGAGGUAGUGGUGGUGGAGGUAGUGGU